rnacentral:lncRNA from 1 species
AGCAUCUUUGGGAUUUAUAACACCAAUAAAAUUGUUCAUUAUUGUUUCAGAAAUUCUAGCAACUGAAAACCAACACCCAAACGCUGAAGGUGCUGAGAGGCUAAGGGCAGAUUCAAGAGUCUGUAGUGUAAUUUAUCAAGAACUCAUAGACAGAACCAAACCUCGCUGACAGCAAGACAGAAAGAUCAUUACACCUAAUGGCAGGAGAAGGGUUCACGUGCUAAACUGCUCAUGGAUGGGCCAUGACCAACCCAGAUGUCCUGCAUUCCUCCAGUCCACAUGUCAAGCAUCAGAAGCAGUCAGUCCAUGACAAGACAAGAACAAGUUGGUCAGGACACUGCACCACAGCCAUGGCUUUUAAAGAUACUGAAAAGAUGGAACUCGAAGUGGUGAUUCACUGAAUUUGACUCAGUCUAACCAGAUGCCAUGGGAAGCCUCCAGAGAAGCAACCAAGUUAUGCAUGGAUGCCACACACUGUACACACCAAGUUUUCAGCUCUCCCUGUGCAACACAGAUGAUCUGGUUGCCAAUUGACAACUAUAGUAAAAAGAAGAGGGACUCUGCACCAGCUGGACCAGAGAAGAGAAAGUGCUCCCUGGGGAUUGGUCCAUGCUAAU